AUUGAACGCUGGCGGCAGGCCUAACACAUGCAAGUCGAGCGGAGCGGCGGACGGGCGAGUAAUGCCUAGGAAUCUGCCUGGUAGUGGGGGAUAACGUCCGGAAACGGGCGCUAAUCUCGCAUACUCUUAGCUGAGCCUAGGUCGGAUUAGCUUGAUGGUGGGGUAAAGGCCGACCAAGGCGACGAUCCGUAACUGGUCUGAGAGGAUGAUCAGUCACACUGGAACUGAGACACGGUCCAGACUCCUACGGGAGGCAGCAGUGGGGAAUAUUGGACAAUGGGCGAAAGCCUGAUCCAGCCAUGCCGCGUGUGUGAAGAAGGUCUUCGGAUUGUAAAGCACUUUAAGUUGGGAGGCGUUACCAACAGAAUAAGCACCGGCUAACUCCGUGCCAGCAGCCGCGGUAAUUC
rnacentral:rRNA from 1 species